rnacentral:rRNA from 1 species
AAACAUCGCCUCCUGCAUAAUACACAUAGGAGGUCCCGCCUGCCCUGUGAUUAUAGAUUCAACGGCCGCGGUAUUUUGACCGUGCAAAGGUAGCGCAAUCACUUGUCUUUUAAAUGAAGACCUGUAUGAAUGGCAUAACGAGGGCUUGACUGUCUCCCUUUCCCAGUCAAUGAAAUUGAUUUCUCCGUGCAGAAGCGGGGAUAUAAACAUAAGACGAGAAGACCCUGUGGAGCUUUAGACAAUAAACAGACCCUAUAAGACAAACCAGAAUAACAAGGCUAAACAAUUAGGGCCACUGUUUUGCUGUCUUUGGUUGGGGCGACCGCGGGGGAACAAAGAGCCCCCAUGUGGAACAAGUACAGCUUCUUUCAACCUAGAGCACCACCUCAAAGUAACAGAACAUCUGACCUAAGAUGAUCCGGCCCAAAGCCGAUUAACGAAUAUAGUUACCCCAGGGAUAACAGCGCAAUCCUCUCCCAGAGCCCAUAUCGACGAGGGGGUUUACGACCUCGAUGUUGGAUCAGGACAUCCUAAUGGUGCAGCCGCUAUUAAGGGUUCGUUUGUUCAACGAUUAAAGU